rnacentral:rRNA from 1 species
AGAGUUUGAUCCUGGCUCAGGAUGAACGCUAGCUACAGGCUUAACACAUGCAAGUCGAGGGGAAACGACAUCGAAAGCUUGCUUUUGAUGGGCGUCGACCGGCGCACGGGUGAGUAACGCGUAUCCAACCUGCCCAUCACUUGGGGAUAACCUUGCGAAAGUAAGACUAAUACCCAAUGAUAUCUCUAGAAGACAUCUGAAAGAGAUUAAAGAUUUAUCGGUGAUGGAUGGGGAUGCGUCUGAUUAGCUUGUUGGCGGGGUAACGGCCCACCAAGGCGACGAUCAGUAGGGGUUCUGAGAGGAAGGUCCCCCACAUUGGAACUGAGACACGGUCCAAACUCCUACGGGAGGCAGCAGUGAGGAAUAUUGGUCAAUGGGCGAGAGCCUGAACCAGCCAAGUAGCGUGCAGGAUGACGGCCCUAUGGGUUGUAAACUGCUUUUAUAAGGGAAUAAAGUGAGUCUCGUGAGACUUUUUGCAUGUACCUUAUGAAUAAGGACCGGCUAAUUCCGUGCCAGCAGCCGCGGUAAUACGGAAGGUCCGGGCGUUAUCCGGAUUUAUUGGGUUUAAAGGGAGCGUAGGCCGGAGAUUAAGCGUGUUGUGAAAUGUAGACGCUCAACGUCUGCACUGCAGCGCGAACUGGUUUCCUUGAGUACGCACAAAGUGGGCGGAAUUCGUGGUGUAGCGGUGAAAUGCUUAGAUAUCACGAAGAACUCCGAUUGCGAAGGCAGCUCACUGGAGCGCAACUGACGCUGAAGCUCGAAAGUGCGGGUAUCGAACAGGAUUAGAUACCCUGGUAGUCCGCACGGUAAACGAUGGAUGCCCGCUGUUGGUCUGAAUAGGUCAGCGGCCAAGCGAAAGCAUUAAGCAUCCCACCUGGGGAGUACGCCGGCAACGGUGAAACUCAAAGGAAUUGACGG